UACGAAGGGGGCUAGCGUUGCUCGGAAUUACUGGGCGUAAAGCGCACGUAGGCGGAUUGUUAAGUCGGGGGUGAAAUCCUGGAGCUCAAUUCCAGAACUGCCUUCGAAACUGGCGAUCUUGAGUCCGGGAGAGGUGAGUGGAACUCCGAGUGUAGAGGUGAAAUUCGUAGAUAUUCGGAAGAACACCAGUGGCGAAGGCGGCUCACUGGCCCGGUACUGACGCUGAGAUACGAAAGCGUGGGGAGCAAACAGG
rnacentral:rRNA from 1 species